AAAAAAAGGGUGAAAGGUGCUGUAACAGAACCUAUUCCUCGUCCUCAAUCUCUCCCGUGCCCACUCAAUCUCUCGUCACUCUUACUCCUCUCCCUCAAUCGCUUUCAAACUUUGCUCACCUCUCUCAAUCGCCCUCUCUCACUAUGAACAUGCAAAAAUUCCAUGGCAUCAAAAGAGAAGUCAAGUAAGAAGCUCACCUCCGGCGGUGACGACGGCGACGGCGAGGUUAAAAUCUUCCUGCUUUACCUCUUCAACCUCAGUUCUUUCGCCGUUUCUCGAUUAGGGUUUCGGUUUGAUGCUCAAUGGUCCAAUGGAGGAAGUUUUCAGAAAUGCUUUUGGAUGCUCAGAAUUGGAGUGCCUUCUUUGAUCAUUGGACUCGGAAAGUGAAUUCGGAGCAUUGGCUUGAUUUAUCAUCACUAAUAUUUUCGGCUUCAGCUUUCUCCAAUUGUUGUUUUUUGUGAACAGUUUGGUUAUCACAUGAUUUACCUCUCUUUCUUGAUGAUUUUCCUAGCAUUUUUGAAUAUUCAAGAGCUUUAUCAGAAGGUUUGGCCUCCGGUUCAACGCCGGCGAGUCGGUUACUUUGACCUCUUUCCUUCUCUUGGAUUUAUUUGACUGCACUGAAACAUUUUUUGUCCCUGCCUCUUGUAACAUCUCUUGUAACAUUGUCAAGCAAAUUGCUUGGACUGUCCUUGCUUCUUCUGGUAACAUUGUCAAUCAACGUUUUUUGAGUAUCAGUUCCAUGUAUAGUGAAUCCAUUAUCAGUUGAAUUGUUUUGAUUUUGAAUAUCAGUAAAAAAAAAUGCAUUUGAGACAUCUGUAUUAACUUUACAAACUUCAACAGGUACAGGAGGAAUGGCUGCAAUUGAUUUGCCAAAGAAUUCUUCAUAAAGAGAUAUUUGGAGCUUGUUUAGUUCGAAAGCCUUGUCAUCCGAUUGCAAGAGUCUCUGACUGAACUGCGUGAGAUGAAUGGAUGCGGUAACAAGUUUGAUGCAGAAAGUGUUAAAUCCGGUUCCUUGUUAGUUGGCGAAACUCUGUCAAACUAAUGCUCUACUCAUUGGUGUGUGCUGCUACAAGCGAUUGGAGAAGUUGCAGCUGCGUGCUUGAAUCACAGUGACGGCUGCAUGCUGAUUUGCUAGGUCUUGGCUCAGACAAGGCUUGGUAAUGGUGUUUAACUGGUCUAAUGACAGGAGGUUAUCCAUCCGUUGGAGUUGUUGAUUUGAAAAUGUUGUUUUCCAAAAAUGAAAGAAGAUUGGUUCCAUUGUGUAGGAUCAGUUCUUUUUGGAGGUUCGGAUUUGAGCAGCAGAAAGGUCUUCCUUAGUCAAGCGAGUUGGAAACUGGAAUUUUCCUAAAUCAACUUGAACCAGCAUGCCUAUACAAGACCAUGGUACCACCUUGCUCGAUGAGUAUAGCUAGCGUGUUUCAUCCUCUGGGACAUUCUGUUGGAAUUAUGAAUGCUGUCUUUCUUGGCAUAUUGCUCCAGAACGGCAUGACAGGAAGAAUAUACCGGUUGCGAUGUUGGGAAUCAACUGGGUAUUUGGUGUUGUUUGAGCAGCACUUAAUAAGGUUAGGCAUCGUGCAAGACUUGGCUUUAUUGAAGGAUGAACUGGUCCUUCCUUGAAGCUUCUUUGUAGGACUAUGUAAGUCCAUUACUUGCUAUGCCUGAUGUUAUUGUGUUGGACAUUGUGUUGCUGUUUUGGUUUUUCUUGCAGGUUUCCUGAACUGUUGCUGCUGUUUUUGCAUCCCAACUGUAUAAUACAUCACCAUCAAAAGUUCCAUAAUGUGUUUGACAGCGACAUGCAAUAUAACCUCUUGCUCCAUCCCAUAAAACUUUUGAAGGAUAGUUCAUAUGUCCAGGAAGCAUUCUGAGUCUUCUACUUAUUGUGAUCAAUUUUUUUCCAUCGUGGAAUCAAAGGGCGUCCGAUGAGACUAGGCUAAACAUGUACACACCGUCUUGAAAAAUGAUGGGUUCAAGCACGAAACUGACAAGACUUUGCUAGUUCCUCUCGAAGAGUCCUGCAACAUGCGUGGACAUGGACAAUCAAUCCCAAGUGGCUUCUACGAGCACGCUCAACUUCUUUUUAGGUGCAGCCAGGAUUAUUUGGCAUGAGGUUCAGUGAAACCGGCUGAACUGUCACAGGCUCGUUAGUAUGCAGGCCUUCCCAUGGAUCUUAAAUAUCCUCUGAAGUAGUAUUAGUGUUUUAGAGCAGUUUCCUAAGUCUUUUGUAUCAACUUUUCAGCAACUCAUUUUUCUGAAUUUGAUUCUUGUAUCUUGUACGUGUAAUAUGUAUGAACAAUGGGAACAUCAUUUUCUAUCUUAUGCUCAGAAUUUGGCACUUACCUCAACUGGGAUAUGAACUGUCUAGCAUCCAUUUUGUAAGAAGAUAUUCGAGCCAAUCUUUUGAAUGAACAUUAAAAUAGGUUCCAGAGGAUGCUCCUCCGUUAUUGCAAGGAAAAGCACUCUUGCCCAUAUAUUUACUUCAAACUCCCAUGCACUAAAGUCGCCGUUGUCAUAAUUUAGAGAAAUAUCAAUGAUCACUAAUAAAGCUAUGUGGGAAGUCAUAAAGACUCUUGCAGAGCUUCGAAUCAUCCAUACGACAAUUGGCACAGCAAUCCUUGUAACCACAACCAGAGAACCAUC